AAGGAAUCUCUUAAAAAGAAAUUAAAAUAUGCCCCAAAUACUAUAGCAAGCAAAUUGCCAACCCGCAAUGUCAAGUUUGGUCUGCCUUUGGAGCCCACUGCAAUUCAGUCUUCAGAGAAGAGAAGAUGAACUACAGAGACAGUGGAAAGAAACUCUCUUUCUGAGAAAGAAGGUGGUUCCCUAGCAGGAAGACAAGCAUUGAAGGCAAGCUACGGAAAUAAGGUGCCCUAUCUGAGGAAAGCAGAAAGAA